rnacentral:misc_RNA from 1 species
AAGUCGUAACAAGGUUUCCGUAGGUGAACCUGCGGAAGGAUCAUUAACACGUAUCCAAACGUUAAAACCCCUGUGAACUUGUCCCUCUCCCUUUGCAGAAGGAACUUGGAGCAUGAUUGAUUUAUAUGAAAGAGACUGGAAAAAUCUUGUCACCGAGAUGGAGUACGUCAUGUCAAUCUGCGACAGUAGCCAGUAAGUCUAACGAUUUAUGUGGUGUCACACAACUAGAUUUCUGCAAAGGCUUUAGCUCUCUUUCUGGGUUUGUAUCUUUCAUCAGCGAUGAUUGAGGGCGUUUUCAUUAUUAUUAAACUAUUUCACCCCUUUUCCCACCAGUUGAUUUUAUUUGUUAAUCUGUAUGAAAAUACUGAUUACAAGUUCUUAAUUGAACACCAUUACAACUCUUAGCAAUGGAUGUCUAGGUUCUC